CCUCACUAUUAAAUCUCUGAGCACAGCAGCUUUGUCCUUUGGCUUGUGGAUGGAAAUCCAGUAUCCAGGCCAUAGGUGGUGCUCAGAAAUGUUGGCUGAAGGGAUGAAUUUUCCUUGGGCGUGAGCCCUCUCCACCAGCACCACUAAGUGUCUGCCUGAUUGUUAAGGUCUGAACUGAGGUUCUCCACAGGAAAAUUUGGGGUCCCAUGCGCCCUCUCCAGCUGGCCCUUCUGCCUGCAGGGCAUGUACAACGCCACCACCCAGCAAGUGGAGACAGAGCUCUUCCCCUGCCUCAGGACUGAGGUUCUACGCCUAAAACCCUUUGGCUGGUAUGGGGUGUGGGCUGCUGUGGGGACGGGCUCACCCCGGGUGGAAGGGUCUUCCUGGCCGUGUUUCUGCCUGUUCCUGACCCUGGGGAUGCCUGGUCCCAGACCUGGGAAGCAGGGAGGGGUUUGACAGGAGGCUGGGCUGGGUCCUCCAUCCCUCCUGGGUUCCCCCACCAUCACGCCCACUUCCAGUCCAGAGCAGCCUCUGGGAGCAGUGCCAGGGGAUCUGAUUACAGCCUUCCCGCAGGGGGCCUGCUGACCGGCAAGUACAAGGAUGGGGACAAGGAUGGGUAACAACCUGUGGGCCGUUUCUUUGGGACCAAUUGGGCAGAGAUCUACAGGAAUCGGCGAGCUGGGCAUGGGCUGCGUCAGGGUGGGAAGUGGCAUGGGUCCCCUUAGUCUGCAAUGGGGAGUCCCUGGGGCUGCUUUCUUGGUGGCCAGGACCUCCCCCUGUGCUCAGACCUUUGCCCCUGGAUCCCUACCAGCUUUACUGAGAAAUUUACCCCUAAAAUUUCGCCAGUGUCUCUGGGGAGUGAUUGGGGGCCUGGAUUGGGAAUGCGUAGAGCUCUGGACCUUCCACCAGGUGUGUGAGGCUAUGUCUUUUCCCUGGGAAGAGCCUACUCCCCUGCCCACAGCGGGAGAAGAAACCUUGGAUUGGAACUUGGGAUUCCUGGGGCUUGAUGCUGGCCUGUCACCUGGGGUAACUGAGGCGUUCAGGGGGACGCAGUCACCCUGGGCAUGUCCAGCUCGGAGCAGCUAG
rnacentral:lncRNA from 1 species